AUCAACUUCGCAAGCCUUACUCUUCCCCUCUCCCCUCUCUCCUCUCUCCUCUCUCCUCUCUCGUUCCCAAUCUAGAUCUAGGGUUUUGGAUUAGGGUUUUUAAUGGUUAAUUUGCGUUUGGAGAAAUAAUUACACAGGUGAGAUUCACCAUAGAGAGUUUUGCAGAUUCAGGAAAGAUGUAUACCCUGGUAUAGCAAGUGUUCAAACAAAGAUGGAUGUAAUCAUGUAAAAGUGGCAGUUCUGUUUGAAAGAUGGGGGAUAUCAAUGUAUGUGGAGAAUAAUAAGAGAAGUAAAAGUGGGGGAAUUGAUUUCGUAUGUUAUUACUCUUUUGGGUAUUAAAUUGUUGUGUUUUGUAGAUUGUAAUUUAUUUCCAAAGAAGGGAUUCACAGCAUGUUUGGUACUUGUAUGUUUGGUAUUUAAGACUAUUUAAUGCUAUUGAGCAUAUACCUUUUUUUUCUCUCUUUUUUGUGGGAUUUAUAGAAAAAAAUAUAGCAAUCUUAAUGGAAACAAUCAUUUUUUUA